UACGAAGGGGGCUAGCGUUGUUCGGAAUUACUGGGCGUAAAGCGCACGUAGGCGGAUUGUUAAGUCAGAGGUGAAAUCCCGGAGCUCAACUUCGGAACUGCCUUUGAUACUGGCAAUCUAGAGUCCGGAAGAGGUUAGUGGAAUUCCCAGUGUAGAGGUGAAAUUCGUAGAUAUUGGGGAAGAACACCAGUGGCGAAGGCGGCUAACUGGUCCGGUACUGACGCUGAGGUGCGAAAGCGUGGGGGAGCAAACAGG
rnacentral:rRNA from 1 species